UGCUGCAAUGUGAAGCGGUGUUUCGAAAUUUUCAGUGAUUGCAGAUCGUACCAGCUCUGGUCUUGUUUCAAGGAUGGCUUCGGCAGCUUUCCAGUCUCCUUUGAUUGACGCUUCAUAAAGUGGAACUCCAAUAUGGAGGUUAUAAGUUGUUGUUGGCAGUAAAGAAUGUGAGAAAGGACAUAAUAGCAGAGUUCUCGAUAACUUUACAACAUCUGUAUUUUAGAGGGUUUGGAAUGCCAGUUCAUGCUUGAAAAGCUCAGGAAUGUUACCAAUAGUAAUGAAAUUAAGAAGAUUUACAAUCCACUUAAAUUAGAUGUACCACCAUCUCCUGCAGAAAAGGUUCUCUCAUGAAAGCAAUCAUGGAUGAUGUUUGUCCGUCCUUAGCAGGUAAGUAGGCUCAAAAGUUUAAUAAUAUGUUUUUUAAAUCCAGUUUUAUGUUAUUUGAAAAGUUUCAUGCCUUCAUAUAUUGAUCAUCUUUUUUAAUUGGUUUAUCAUGUAGUUGUCAUUUUGAUCAUUUUUUGAUUGAGCAAUGAUCCUUUCCUUUAAUUUUUGCAUUGUGUAGCUUCAUAUCCAGGCACAAGAAUUUCCAAAUGCCACAAAAAUUUUCAUACUAAAUUUAUUUUUUUAAAGUACAUUUUUAUUUGUUUUUUAUUUUUUCACAAUUGACUUAUCAUUUAAAAUGUUGGAGGAAAUUAUCAUCUUCCUUGUAAGGUGAUCAUUCCUUAAGAAUUUGGGGUGGCAUGUUUUUAUAAUUCUUGUUAUGGACUUCAAAAGCAAAGUAAUUGCUGAAGUGGCAACCAACUCAUGGGAAAAAGCUGCCAUAUGAUACACUUGGUCCACCUUUGUAGCAUUGAAGAAGCUAGAAGGUGUCUAAGUUUCCGGAGACCUUGUGACGUAGUAAAGUUAAUAUUUACUGGGUUGAUCUUGACAUUAGUGAGGCUGAGGAAGACAAACAUGAAAUGGGGAGUUUUCUUGAGGAAGACGUACAUGAAACGUCUCCUUUAUUCCUGAUGCAUAUAAAUCAUUCUACAUGAUUCAUACACAUGCACUUCGCUAGAAAAAAGGCAGAAAGCUGAAAGUUUACAUAAAAUAACAUUAUCACAUUAUACUUUCAAAGUACAAUGGUUUAUUAAGAUGGUGGGAUUUGAUCAAGUCGGGUGGGUAUGUUUAUUGAUAUGGAUUGUCUUGUGAGGAAUGUGUCCAAUGGGUCAGUUCUAAUGUGGAUACUACCACUACAAACCUGAAUCUUCUUUCAAUACAUUCCACUAGCCAUUACAAGUAAGAAAAAUGACUACAUGAUAUGUACAUAACAAUUUGUUACAUUAAAAAGAAAGGGUGGAAUGUUAGCUUUUUACUAGAAGCUACAAAAGUUUAUGUUUUUUAAUGUUGGUAAAUUGUUUAAUCUUUUCGUGAUCAUAGCUGGCAUGUGAAAAGGAUGCUUUGCUUUAAUAAUAAUUUCAUUCGAAUUAUCAAAAAUUAUAAAGGGCGCUUCUGUCCUUUUCCAGUAAUUUGCCAGAUGUGUCAAUAAAAAUAAAACUAAAAUAGGAUGGAUUGAUAGUUAUAUUCAUCAAUUUUAACCUGAGAGAUGUGACUAAGACCGAUUCGACGAGCUAAGAUGUAAUAUUUUAAUUGGAACCUAACAAUUCAUUUAGUCUUUUAAUUCUCGCGUAUCAGAUUUUUAUAAAUCAAAAACAUUAAAUCAUAAAGGAAACUAUUUGAGGAAAAGACAUAAAAAUGUAUAAAUGUUAUUUUUAACAAAACAACAUUCUUUUGAACAAAUGUGUACAUUGAUACAUUUUACUACUAUUUGUAAAUGUAAUGCAUGGUUUUUGAAAUACAAAAUAUUUCUGAAUAUAUACUAAUCUCCGAAAAGAAAUGAUUUUGCCCUGCUACUUUUCUCAUCUUCUUUAUCCUUUCUUUCUCUCCUUCUUGAGACUACGACAACUAGAAAGGUUAAGAACAACAGGUUCUAUUUUUUAUUAUUCGAUUUCCUGUGUUCCAACAACAACAUAAACAUAUAUGGUCUGGUAUGUCAAGAACAAGUUGAUGUUUUCUGAUUUUGUAUUUUUCCAACAAUAAACAAAAGAUUUUGAUUUCUUUUUUCAGAUCUUGAUUUCCUACAUUCCAACAACAUGAAUGGAUAUGGGACAGAUAUGUCAAGAAGAACAUGUUCAUAUUUUUUAUUUUAGGUUUUUUUCUUCAAGAAACUAAACAAUUCUAAUUUUUUUUGCAGAUCUUGAUUUUUCUUUUACAGGUUUUUUGGUUGUUCUUUGUGGAGCUGGAAGGUCUAAAGUUUUAUGUUAAUCUUUAGGUUUAAACUUUUCAUUUUAUUUAACUCUAAUGACAUCUAAAGUUUAUUUGUUAGAUAUCUAUGUUUUUUUAUUUGUUUGUUUUAGAAAUCGCCAUCAUCUUCGUUUUCUCAUAUGGACUCCACCUCUUUUUAUAGUUUCAAUUUUACUAUUUUGGUUCAUGAAUAGUAGGCUACCGUGAAUAAAAUAAAGUCAUAUACCAAAACAUAGUGGUCAAAACUCAGGUAUAAAUUAGUUUCAAAUUUGAAUAUACCUUAUGUAUAUUUGUGUUAUAGCUUAAUUGAAAAACAUGGUUUCCUUCUCAAAUACUCACAGGGUUUGUAAUUUUGUCUCACUAUUAUUUCAUUUUUUUUAUUUAUUCGAGUGAUAUGCAUUUUUGUUUGACCACUACUUAGGAUGUGCUCGGAUGUGUUGAAGAAUAUGAGUAAAAUGUAGAAGCAACUAGAAAGGAAGAAUUUAUAAAGAGGAAAGAAGCUGUAAAACGUAGCAACGAGCUUUAUAAAAAGAAUGAAGAGCCUAUCAGUUAUGUGUGUGCUUUAUAGUUUUUUGUGUAUCGAUGUUCUCAUGAUUUUCCAUUUUACUAUAAUUUCCAGAUAACAAACACUUAGGAUGAUAUGGUUUGCAGGUUAGGAUUGCUUAAAUUUUCAACACAUACAUACCCUGAAUGUGCCUUCAUGACUGGUUUGUUUUAGCUAUUUAAGUGUAUCUUUAGCUUGCUGUCUCACCUUCGAAUAAAUCAGGUGUUAAGAGGAUUGAGACACAAUUUUUAGUGUUAUAACGGGAUAAAUGUA